CUUCUAGGUUUGGCGAUCUUUGUGCCCUUGGUUCUGCUAUUCGCAAAUUAAAAUACUUGGAUAGGUUAUGUUGUGCAACGAGAUACUCUUUGGGAAUUCGAUCCGACGACCUAGUGGCUAUCAAUUGAAAAGAGCCUUGGAUAAUUGCAGCAUAGCUAGACAAAUUUCUGGUCUUAUUCUCCUCAUGCAGAAUUACAUCAUAUUAUUAGCGGUAAUUUAACCUGGAGGAUUAACAAGAGGGAAAUCUAUGGAGAUAAAAUGGAGGAGUUUUCACAACGGUCUUGUUACCGUUCAGUGUGGUGCAAUUCUGAGGGUGACUCUAGAGAGCUAGACAAAAAAACUGGGUUGACUAUAGAUGAACAACUUUAAAUUUGAGUCUCUUGCAUCUAUUGUAUUCUUGAGUCUUAAAAGAAACCUAUGGGAGGGCAGCUGAAAGGAGGUGAAAGGGACAUGAUUGUGAAGGACAAAAUUUUGACAUCAGGGUUAAGAUAUAUUGUCACCAAAGUUGCUAUAGUUUAGCUCAAACAUAAAUCUGGAGGUUCACACUGAGGAUUAGAAUUAGACCAUGUAGUUGCAAAUUCACAAACAUAAAUGUAUCAUUCAAAUUUUUUGUACAUUCUCUUUGUGUUGCAUAGAGCUGGCUAGAUAUUCUAAGGUUUUGUCUAAGAAACACAGUUAUUUUAUUUUCAAGGCAACACAAAGUUGUUUAAUACAAAAACACAAAAUGGAUUGCAAAAUGGUCACAUGUUCUCAAGCAUUAUUUAGAC